rnacentral:rRNA from 1 species
AUUGAACGCUGGCGGCGUGCUUAACACAUGCAAGUCGAUCGGUAACGCGGGGGCAACCCUGGCGACGAGAGGCGGACGGGUGAGGAACGCUUGGGAAUCUGCCUAUCAGCGGGGGACAACACGGGGAAACUCGUGCUAAUACCGCAUACGCCCUACGGAGGAAAGCCGGGGACCGCAAGGCCUGGCACUGAUAGAUGAGCCCAAGUCGGAUCAGCUAGUUGGCGGGGUAACGGCCCACCAAGGCGACGAUCCGUAGCUGGUCUGAGAGGACGAUCAGCCACACUGGGACUGAGACACGGCCCAGACUCCUACGGGAGGCAGCAGUGGGGAAUAUUGGACAAUGGGGGAAACCCUGAUCCAGCGACGCCGCGUGGGUGAAGAAGGCCUGCGGGUUGUAAAGCCCUUUCGGUAGGGACGAAAGCUCUCGACCUAACACGUCGGGAGGUUGACUUAACCUACAAAAGAAGCACCGGCUAACUCUGUGCCAGCCGCCGCGGUAACAC